UUCAGAUAGUUCUAUGUUGGAUGACGUUCGGACGGAGACCGGAAGACGGCGGCCGGCGACCGAAAGACAGCGACCGGAGGACGGAGGACCGGGGACCCUUGGGAUUCUCUCUGUGCAGCACCGGCUAGUGAAACCCUACUUCGGUUUGGGCUUUCUUUGAGACUUUGACUCGCACAUGUACAGAUAUCAUUGUCACAACUUUCAUUAAUGUAUGCAAGUAUGUAUGCAAGGAAAGUCAGUUUAGUCGGACCCCAACAUCACACUCUGAAGAUAUGAGUUUGCCCUUUUGCAAUAAACUAUUCCAAGGAACCAACACCUCGAAGGAUUUUAAAAUGAAUCUUUUGCUUGAGGAUUCAUCUUGAGAGAAUAGAAUGCCAAGCAAAAUAUGUCAGAAAGAAUCGCAAUUACUAAAAGAGGUUGAAGAACUUGAGAAGCAACUAAACAAGAUCUCUUGAAUAUAAUGAUUUCGUUGUUGAAGAGGAAUUCCAACAUAAUUUCAAUUGCCUAAUUUUUUUAGUGAAGAAAAACAAUAAAUACAACAUGGUGCACGGUGUACAGGGUAGGGUGCAAUUGGGAGGAGAUGGUUUUAGUUAUCAUUGUUGAUUCCGGUAUAGGUUUUUCUAAUCGUGCUUUCGA